GACGAACGCUGGCGGCGUGCUUAACACAUGCAAGUCGAACGGAAAGGCCCUGCUUUUGUGGGGUGCUCGAGUGGCGAACGGGUGAGUAACACGUGAGUAACCUGCCCUUGACUUUGGGAUAACUUCAGGAAACUGGGGCUAAUACCGGAUAGGAGCUCCUGCUGCAUGGUGGGGGUUGGAAAGUUUCGGCGGUUGGGGAUGGACUCGCGGCUUAUCAGCCUGUUGGUGGGGUAGUGGCUUACCAAGGCUUUGACGGGUAGCCGGCCUGAGAGGGUGACCGGCCACAUUGGGCCUGGGAUACGGCCCAGACUCCUGCGGGGGGCAGCAGUGGAGAAUAUUGCACAAUAGGCGGAAGCCUGAUGCAGCAACGCCGCGUGCGGGAUGACGGCCUUCGGGUUGUAGACCGCUUUCGCCUGUGACGAAGCGUGAGUGGCGGUAAUGGGUGAAGAAGCACCGGCUAACUACGUG
rnacentral:rRNA from 1 species